GGCUCUCACCUCGAACAUAAGCCCGAUGAGGACGCAGAGCACCAGGCAGAAGCCGAUGUCCGCAUGGUUGUGGAUGACGAACUCCUGGCUGAAGAGCGGGUCCACAGUUAUUUCACUUCUAAAUAAAUAUGGUUUUUUAAAAGUGGCACGCGGUGGAAUGUAAUUGAGACAGGAUGGAGUUCCUAGAGAAAUUUUACUUCCUCAAUCUGCACUCCACCUUACUUAAAAUACAGUCUUGGGUCUGUAAUUCCCUUAUCUGACUCUCAAGGAAAUGACAAAGUAAUGCCUAGAUUGGACUAAACCUCAUUUAACUUCAAGGCUGACCUUUCUCAAAGUUGAACCUUCGUCUUGUGAGGAACAGAAAGAUCAAGAACUCUGAAGCACCUCGACUUUCCACCUGUGAAGAUGUGUUCAAAUUUGCAACGUGCGGCCACACCUAUGAGGUCACUCCCUCUGGAGGAAACCAGCUGCCACUUUGUGAGGAUACUCAUAGUCCUGUGGAGGCAUAUCCUCCAUAUGGCUGAGACCUCCUGCGAACAACCAUCACUGACUUGCCAGACAUGAGUGUGCCACCUUGGAAGCAGAUUUUCCAGCCCCAGUUAAGCCUUCAGAUGACAUCAGCCCCUGCUAAUCUCUUGACUACAACCUCAUGAGAGACCCUGAGCCAGAACUAGCCAGGCUUACCCCUCAUGGUUACAAAGUGGCUGCAACAGCUCCAGGUGUUCUAUCCUUUAACACAGAAUAACUCAAACAACAAGACCCAAUAUUCAGACAAGAAGGAAAGGGACUUUUGGAGAGUGAAGAAAACUUUCCUAGAAACCUCAAACUUCUCCCCAUGCCUUAUUGGCCAGAUUGUAUCCCAUGCCCAUUUCUAAACCAAUCAUUGGCAAAGUGAGUGGAAUUGACGUGAUUAGAUUAACUUUACCAAGAAUGCAUCCUCAGAGAGGCUGAGAAAAAGUCCAGCCUCCUUUGAAGAGCCUGGCUACCUUUCACCUGAACAAAACAAGAAUUCUGAUGAAAAAUGGAGAAUGUAUGUGGAGCAGGCACCCGGAGUGUCUAUGCCAGGAUUUUUUUUCAGUGCGUUUCACCGGUUAUAUUUUUGUCUCUUUACCUUACAAGAUAUGUGGCACGUUUGCCUAAAACAAGCCUUGCUUUCUGAUUUCUGUGCACUAGGCACUUAAACCUUGCAAAUGUCGCUUACCUAACAGUCACUGUCAAGGAGUACCUGGCUAAAGAAUCUCCAGCUAGACAAAGUAGAAGUGUCUGUGCUCUGGCAGUUGAAUAUAUUGUAUCAGGCUCAACAGCACCUUUCACCAAAGGAUGAGACUUCACAACCAUUAGAUCUUCUUUUAUUUUGUUUUUAUUAAAAAAAAAAAUUUUAACACACCAUUGCUAACUUGAAGCCAUUAGAUCUUCUUACCCCCAAUACCACAAAAGUUUAGUGGAAUCAGGGGUAUACCAAGGCAGGUGGAGUAGGGGAGCUGGGAGUGGUCAGCCCCCAGGGCAGGCAAUGAGGGAUUGUGAAUCUGUGAAGAAUUUUAAAGCAAUGAUACAGCUCUAAAUGCAAUGUACUAUCCUGGACUUAGCCCUGGAAAAGAAAAAAGAUAUUAGUGGAAAAACUGGUAAAAUUCAAAUAAUGUCUGUAGUUUGGUUAAUAGUAUUAUACCAAUGUUAAUUUCUGUGUUUUGAUAAAUGUACCAUGGUUAUGUAAGCUGGAUGAAAGAUAUGUGGGAAAUCUCUCUACUAUUUCUGCAACUCUCCUGUAAACCUAAAAAUGUUUCAAAAUAAAAGAUUUAAUGCUAAAAUUGACUGAAAAU
ensembl:lncRNA TRAM2-AS1 TRAM2 antisense RNA 1 (head to head)